rnacentral:rRNA from 1 species
GCUUACGGCCACACCGCCUGGUUCACGCCAGAUCUCGUUUGAUCUCGGAAGCUAAGAGAGGUUGGGCCUGGUUAGUACUUGGAUGGGAGACCGCCUGGGAAUACCAGGUGCUGUAAGCU